AUUGAACGCUGGCGGCAGGCCUAACACAUGCAAGUCGAGCGGAUGAAGGGAGCUUGCUCCUGGAUUCAGCGGCGGACGGGUGAGUAAUGCCUAGGAAUCUGCCUGGUAGUGGGGGACAACGUUUCGAAAGGAACGCUAAUACCGCAUACGUCCUACGGGAGAAAGCAGGGGACCUUCGGGCCUUGCGCUAUCAGAUGAGCCUAGGUCGGAUUAGCUAGUUGGUGAGGUAAUGGCUCACCAAGGCGACGAUCCGUAACUGGUCUGAGAGGAUGAUCAGUCACACUGGAACUGAGACACGGUCCAGACUCCUACGGGAGGCAGCAGUGGGGAAUAUUGGACAAUGGGCGAAAGCCUGAUCCAGCCAUGCCGCGUGUGUGAAGAAGGUCUUCGGAUUGUAAAGCACUUUAAGUUGGGAGGAAGGGCAGUAAGUUAAUACCUUGCUGUUUUGACGUUACCGACAGAAUAAGCACCGGCUAACUCUGUGCCAGCCGCCGCGGUAAGAC
rnacentral:rRNA from 1 species